GCUCAUGUUUGGGGGAUUGGAGAGCUAUAUUCAUACUCUGGGGAUUGCUAUAAUCACUAUACUCCAUUGGAUCACAACACUUUCUCUUAUAAGUGCAGCCUGCUUCCCUCUCUGGACUAGGAGAGGUCUACCCACUGGAAGCUGGAUCCUGGUAUGGGUCCAUCACACUAAUUGCGCCCUAGAUACUGGUGAGAACAUAGUUUAGGAUUCACCCCACCACAUCACAUCACUGCAUAAAAUGAACAGCUUUCACCAGGUCUUGAAAAAUGAUCUUCCUAUGAUUAUUGAUCUGCAUCUGUCUUUAGUUUUCA